GGGAGGUGCUGAGACAUCGAGGGCGGAAGUGGGUGUGGUCUUCGGUCCGAAGGCCUGGCUGCGGGGAGUGGGUGCGGCGGGAGUUGGGGUGAUCGUUAACAUUUAGACUGGAGCUGUUUCCCUGGAGGUGCGCCCUUGGGAAGGGCCUGACUGUGUGAAGAGUGGACAGCAGUCCUCCGCCCCCUGCUGGGCUCGCGGUAAAGUGGUGGCUCCUGUGUCCCCGCUGUUCCGCCUGUGCACUGGCCGACUUUUUAAAGCCAUGCCCCAAAGUGCUGUCCUCCUGCAAAACCGAGCCCGAAGGGACAGUGCAAAGUGAAGUCAAACUGAGUAUUUACCUGGAGAUGUAGCCUAAGAAAAUAAUCAGAUGCACCCAAAGAGCUUUGCACAAGGAUAUUCAUGGGAGCCCUUAUGGUUUUGAAGCAUAUUUAGUGGUCGGGAAGAGUGCUCAUGAUGCGAAGCUAACUGAACUAUAUAUACAGAAUGAUCCAGACUUUGAAAGGAAAAACUAAAGAAAUACAUCUACAUAUUAAGUAGUGCAUGGAAGCAUUAUUCCUGUUUUAUAAAGGGACGAAGAGGCCAGCGAAGUCACCUAACUUAUCCACGAUCACACAGUCAGCAAGAGUUUGGAGUCCAGUAGUCUGAUUCCAGAGCCUCACUGUAUCUCACUAUGCUCUGCUGCUGCCCGAGGCUGAAGAAGCUGAUGAGUCCUCCAGCAGAGCUCUGCCAGAAGGACUCAGCAGGUUAAGAGUCGCAAUACUGGCAUUCUCUAAUUUAUUAAAACAAGCCUCUGAGUAGCUUAGUGGCUUCUGCCUUCAUAGUGCACCACGGAAUGACAUCAUUGCUCUGCAGCUCCCUCCUUGGUAAAGCUGUUACUCCACUUUCAGGCAAGAGGACUCCCGAAACCUUUUUUGGCCUUUUGACACUUCCUAAGUGGGCUAUUCAGUUUGUGUUCUGUGUUCUU
rnacentral:lncRNA from 1 species